rnacentral:rRNA from 1 species
UACGUAGGGGGCAAGCGUUGUCCGGAAUUAUUGGGCGUAAAGGGUGUGUAGGCGGUCUUCUAAGUUUGGUGUGAAAUCUCCCGGCUCAACUGGGAGGGUGCGCCGAAAACUGGGAGGCUAGAGUCCGGAAGAGGAGAGUGGAAUUCCCGGUGUAGCGGUGAAAUGCGCAGAUAUCGGGAAGAACACCUGUGGCGAAGGCGGCUCUCUGGGACGGUACUGACGGCUGAGACGCGAAAAGCGUGGGGAGCAAACAGG